CCCCUAGAUGUUCUGGGCCGCACGCGCGCUACACUGAACAGUUCAACAAGUCUUAACCUUGGCCGAUAGGUCUGGGUAAUCUUUGAACGCUGUUCGUGAUUGGGAUAGACCUUUGCAAUUAUGGGUCUUCAACGAGGAAUUCCCAGUAAACGCAAGUCAUCAGCUUGCAUUGAUUACGUCCCUGCCCUUUGUACACACCGCCCGUCGCACCUACCGAUUGAAUGGUCCGGUGAAAUCUCGGGACGGCGGCUUGGUCGCUUGCGUCCGACUGCUGAAACUUGAUUAAACCAUAUCAUUUAGAGGAAGGUGAANUCGUANCA
rnacentral:rRNA from 1 species